ACUGAGAUGACCCAUAGUACCCCAUUCCUUGCUGCAAUGUAAUUAUAUUUAAUUACAAGUGUGCCCCUGGUAGUCUUUAACUGAAGGGCACUGACUGGGUCACUGGUGAAGUUCCCCGCAGGAACUGAGUCAGACCCCAUCUCAGGGCCCUGCACAAGAUAGGUGCCUGCUCUAAGGCGUGGACCCUCGCCACAGCCCUGGCCCGUCUUGACGGGCGAGGGUUACUGUACUUGUCCCAACCGUACAGAUGAGAAAGCUGAGACUCAGGGCCAGCAACCCGGGUCCCAGCGGAGCGCCCGGCACACGCCGACACUUCAGCACCAGUGGCGGUGGCCACCACUGUGGGCGGAGAUGGCUGCGACGCGUGCGCAGAUCUCGAUCCCAAACUCCCUCCUGCCAGAAUCUGGACCCGAAUCCACCCAUUGCCCGUUUUCCGCUGCCGCUGGAGAGAAUCUCUGAGGUCCCCAGGAGAGCCUGCCUGCACGGAAGAGACGCCUCCUCGGGAAAUUUGUGCACAGAGAUAACACAGGGGAUAUGCCAUAUGAAGAUGAAGGCAGAAUUCUACAAGCCCAGGGAUGCCAAAGAUUGCCAGCAAACCACCAGAAGCUAGGAGAGAAGUGUGGAUUAGAUUCUUCCUCACAGCCCUCAGAAGGAUCCAGCCCUGCCAAGAACUUGAUCUCAGACUUCUAGUCUCCAGAACUGUGAGACAGUGCAUUUUGUUUUGUAAGUCAGCCAUAUGGUUUGUGGCA
rnacentral:lncRNA from 1 species